GGGGCUGAGUAUUCAUAUAUAGCAACUGAAAACGAUAACCAAGCUUCUGUAAAACUCUUCACACACAAAUGCGGUUACGCCAAGUUCCGUACUCCAUCCAUUCUGGUGCAACCCGUUUUCGCUCACCGGGUCAAAAUCUCAAAAUCCGUAACCAUUUUCAAACUCACCCCGACUGAAGCCGAAACUCUGUAUCGCCAUAAAUUCUCCACCACAGAGUUUUUCCCAAAAGACAUGGAUUCAAUUCUCAACAAUAAACUCAAUUUAGGUACUUUUCUAGCAGUUCCAAAAGGUACAUUUACA
rnacentral:misc_RNA from 1 species